rnacentral:rRNA from 1 species
CAGUAGCCGCGGUAAUACGAAGGGUGCAAGCGUUAAUCGGAAUUACUGGGCGUAAAGGGUGCGUAGGCGGUUUGAUAAGUUUGGUGUGAAAUCUCUGGGCUCAACCCAGAGUCCGCAUCGAAAACUGUCGGGCUUGAGUAUGGGAGAGGUGAGUGGAAUUUCCGGUGUAGCGGUGAAAUGCGUAGAUAUCGGAAGGAACACCUGUGGCGAAAGCGGCUCACUGGACCAUAACUGACGCUGAUGCACGAAAGCUAGGGGAGCAAACAGGAUUAGAUACCCCAGUAGUCCCUGUCUCUUAUAC